CAUUAUCCUUUUAGUACUUACGUGAUGUGUUUGCUGGCGAUUGAAUGUGAUUUUUAUGAGCCACACGUGACGUAUUUGGGGGUAAGACACAGACAUGUAUGUAAGUAUAGCUACAUAAUUAAAAGGGGAAACUUGGCUGGGAGUGAAGAGCACAGGGGGGAGGGAGUGUGAGAACAUCUAAGAGCACACAGCCAUCCAGAUGAGUGUGUGCACUGCCUCUGGCUUACUGUCUGCCACACCCCUCUGUAGUGCUGGCUCCUGGCCUCUGCUCCACCAUCAUCCUGUUGUCACCAUACAGAUGGCUUGGCCUGCUGGCUCAGGGCCCUAUCCCAGCCGCUCAGGAGGCCCGGACCAGUGUAUCAUAAACACAGGGCCUGCCUGGACCACAUGACCAGCUCAAGGCCAGCUGGGUAACCAAGUGGGAUUGUUCCAAAAUCAAAAGCGCUGAGGACCACCUCCAGGAUGGAGCACGUGUCUGGAGCACCAAGCAGUUGACGCCACCCAUAAUGGACCUUGAACCUUUGGGGCUUCCUCCAUAUUGCCCUUCUCAGAUCCACCCUACCCACUGCUCCACAAGCCGCUCUUGGUUCUCUGUAGACACAUUCCCACACAGUUUUAGUCAGUAGUGUCGUCUUCACAGUUUAAACUGCCUCAUCUACUGUCCACUCUGAGAAGACUCCCCCAAGCUGUGUGGUUUUCCCCAAACCCUGACCACUCACCAUCCAGGAUAACUCCCGUCAUGUGUAUGAUCUGAGGAGGUGCCAGGAGUUCUUAAGACCAGGCCUGUAGUUUACUUUUUGUCUAAUGCCCAAUGUGCCUGAUACGGAGAAUUUUGUUAGAGAAUACAUAUUGAGUUAAACCUCUUUGAAAAAAAAAGGUACAAUUUCAAAAACAAAGUUGCAGUGUGAUAAUCUGCCUUUAGCACUCUGACUGGAAAACAAAUAUGAAUCCGUGUUGUGGAAAGACAGGCAUUGGUUCUCAAAAUGGAAACUGCACCAGAACACAUCUGACCUCCUGGGAGCUGCCAAAAGAGCAUACAUAUUCUUGCGCUCUCAGUCAGUACCUCAGUCAGUACCCCUGGGCCCGAGGCCUAGGCUCCUGUGCUCUAUUGCGAUCCUGGAUGGGUCUCCCAGCAGUCUGCCACUUGCCUUGCUGCACUUCUGAGAAACCACGGUGCAGUUCAGGCGUCCCAAACCUGUGCGGCACCAUUCGCAUGCUCUUCGUUUAAUUUUGUCUUCAGCAGUAGCAUUGGCAGGAGGAAGCGGUUUUAAUAUUUACUUAUUUAUGAAUUCAUUUCUCUGUUCUUGUCCUAGAAGACAUUGAAGGCAGGUAGGACCGUGCCACUAGAUGAGAACAAAUCCAAAUACGGUUGACCUAAGCCAUCUGUCCUCAUGCUUAGGAAUGCCCAGAGUCUAAUACGUCUCCGGUGUUUGUUUUGGCUCCGUACAGCUUGUCCUGUGGUAUCAGCUUUUAGUGGCGUGCUCCGGGAAGGUACACGCAGGUCACCUGCACACUGCAGACUGUUCUUCCCUAACACUCUACCCCGUAAAGACCUACACUCCACACCUGGCGGUUCUCCAUCGCCUUUCUCCCACUGUGGCAUUUCUCUCUCUUUUCAGUCCCAGCUAGCAGCUCUCCCUCAAAGCCACUGUUAAAACAAACAGCAAUUAGAAUGUAUGGAAUUCCAACUGUGCAGGAGUUCAUUGAGACACAUAGACUUUGGGCCUGCUUACUUUUGUAGAGAGAAAGGAGAGAGAGAGAGAGAGAGAGAGAGACAGACAGACAGACAGACAGACAGACAGACAGACACAGACACAGACAGACACAGAGAGACACAGAGAGAUAUAGUAAUUUAGAAGCUCUUCAUAAUGAAGUUUUAAUAAUUUUCUUUUUAAAAUAUAAGACAAGGUGAAAAAAAUGAGCCUCAGCUUUUCUUCAGUUUGUGAGAAAUACUGAAUACAGCUGUGGUGCUGGACUUGCUUGGAACCUUUUGCCUCUAUCUGACAUAGCUUCCUUGCACAUAAACACUUUCAAAUGCUCUUUAAAGUAGAAGUUGUGGGCCGGGUUGGCCGUAGCUCAGUGGUAGAGCACUCGUCUCCUCUAUACAGGGCUCUGGAUUCAAUACCCAGCGUCAUAAUAAGUAAAUAAGUAAAUAGGUCCCAUGGAAAUAUCUUGUAUUACAUUGAGAAAUAAUGAAAAUUACUCACUUCUCGUUAUUUUUAUCCCAAGAACGUUACUUUAUGACCACUUUCUUUGAACGUUAGAUCUGGGUCAUGGAUCUGUAUGCAUAUUUGGGCUGCAUUUAUUUCUCAGAGGAGCAGUCUGUUUCAAGGAGAGCACAGGGCCGUAUCCAUUCUGUAUUGCGGGUUGCCUAAGUCCACUUUGAAGUCCUGUUGAGUUCCUCGUGUGGAAUGGGAGGUUGAGCCAUGUGCCCCACCGCACUGGUCCAGCUUAGAAAUGCUUCCUGUCGCUUUGUGUUAUGUACAGGGGAGUGGGCAGCGGAUGGUGUCCUCUGUUUUGUUCAAGCCACUUUAGUACCUGUUUCCUCGGUGGUGGAGAUGGAGAAAGGCCAGCGUAGUGCUGAAUGUGUCUAAAAGCGACUUCCUUGGCUUGGGGCAACUGUCGAAGGUGUGGGAAGGAACAGGGAAAGGAACAGGAAGGAGUUUGACCUGAGGCAGAAGAUAUUAUCUCCCCCUCACCCUUCAGCCCCCUGCCGUCCCCAGCCUUCUUUCUGCACCCUAUUCCCACUCCCCUUGCUAUGUGUGGCUCUCCACCCCUAGGCUGAGUGACUGAGAAGCCAGCUUUCUCAGCUGGCUCUUCCUGCAGUCUGUGCAUCUUCUCCCUCUGUUUCCCACUCGGUCCGGGACAGGAAGCACUGACAGCAGAUACCAGCAGGCCUUCCACACUGACGGGACCUCAGCCAAUAUCAUCACAGCCCAUACUGGCACUGUGUGGCUGGUGGAAGGCUCCCUUAUUUUCCUCAGCAUCUGACUAUUUAAAUAAAAUGUCAUUUAAAUGAAAGCAUUUUUGAAAUUUUAAAAUAUUUUUCUUGAUUGACUUUUUUUUUUUUAAGGUAGAAAAAAAAAUGAUCAGGGUUUGAUUCAUGUUCAAUAUGUGUUUCUCCAGAUUGGUUCAAGCUUUGUGUUGAAUCAAGUUCCUGGCAUUUUCUUAUUCUGGGUGCUUUUUGAAUUUGGCUGAUGAAAUUGUAGUUACAUCUACUACUCUUGAGAUAUGAACAAUGGAAGGGAAUACAAUUUAUAGAAUGCAUUCGGGGCUCUGUAGAGGUGUGGCCCUCGAGCGUUGAGCCUGAAGGACAGGCCCUCUCCGAUUUACCCUGGUGGCAGUGAUCCCUGUGAGGGUCGCAAGUUCUUUGUGACCAUUUUUGGCUGCAGAUCUGUGCUUGUUAAAUAGGUUGGUUCCAGGCUAGCACUGUGUCCCCUGUGCCUACUCUCUUGUGUCAGCAGAGAAGACAGGUUAGGGAUGAAGUCAGCUCACAGGCUAAAUUUAGUAGGGCUGAUCUGACUGACUCUCUUACUGAAACCAAGUAAGGCUAUCCCUCAGUGUCAGCGGGCCCAGCAGUUCCCUUAGCUUUAUAAAAUCAGAGGUAAGAAACUGAGCCAUUUCAUAAUGGGACUGCGGUUAGGUCAUAGUAUACGAAUGGAAUAUUAUCUGUGCUUAGCGGCGUUCUGUAGAGAUCUUGUCUAGGCUGGGUGUUGUUUUUUUUGUUUUUGUUUUUUUGUUUUUUUGGUUUUUUUUCUUCUUAAUUUUAUUUGACCAGCUAAUUUCAAAAUCCAUUUACUUGGUUUCAGCAUACCAAAUAGUUAGAGAAAGACAGAUAGCAAGUGACGUGGGCCAUGUCAAGGCCUGGUCCAGCUGGAGGGUGGCUUGCUGGAGUGGGUAACACAUUGAAGUCCCCACCAAUUCACUGGCUCAAUACAGCUUAUUUUCUUGAGAAGAGAGUAUAGAAUAUAAGGGUUUUUUUUUUCUUCUUCCCUUAUAAUUUGUAUAUUUCCAUUAUCUUGAUACUUUUGUUAUUGAAGAUAAACAUGAAUCAGUGGGAUUGGAAGGGUUUGGUUUGGUGUUUUGUCCUAAAGUUCGUGUGUGUGUGUGUGUGUGUGUGUGUGUGUUCACCUGCCUUUGAAAUGCCAAACACCAGUAUGCAUUCACCUUGACUUACCAGAGUUUUACUAGGAAUUUUUUUUUUUUUUUUUUUUUUUUUUUUUGCACAUUGGGAUGUUUGGUCCUGGACACACAUGUCCACCCGGUCUCCCUGCUGUGCACGCUCUUCUGACCAUGAACAGAGCUUUACUCUGCAAAUACAUUUAUAGGCCUGAAAUAAAUAGGGCAAGAUUAUCGUCCUUGAAGCCCUGUCCAUAAAAGAGGAGACCACAGCAGGAAGUGCCUCUGAAGAGAGAUGGCCGCGUGCAAAGGAGAAUGCUAUGCUAACUAAAGGAAGGUGGGAGUAAGCGAAGAGACACUCAGAUGCAUGGGUGUGGCAGGGUGCUCCUGAGUGACAGAGUGGCAGCUAUUCAAGGAACACCCCAGAAAGUCUGUCCUCCUCCUAGAGUUGGGUGGGGCUGCCCAGUGUGUAGGAGCCUGCAUAGGGUGCUGCGUUUCUUCAGUGGACAGCCUCCCCAAGCCAGGGUAGCCUGUGCCCCUGCCUUCAGAAGCAUGCUUCAUCACACUCGGAUUCAUGAAGUGCACGGCUGUGUGAACAUUGGUUCGAGGCCACUGGGCGUGCAUGAGAUAUCCCAGGGAACCUAACUUCUUUGGAGGAGCAAGACUAGCACACCUAGGUUUCAGAGAGCUGGGUAGGUACCGAGGACUGUUGACUCUGCCGUCCAUUCCUGCAUCCCGUUCUCAGCUUCUCCCCUUCAUCCUGGUUAUAAGCACCAAUGAUGAAGAUAAAUCGAAGCCCAACAGCUGGAGGAUGGAUGCCCUGAAAUAUAUACCGUAUAUGUAUUUCAUUGAAAGCUCCACCUGUGUGUGCGUGUGUGGUGUGUGUAUAUACAUAUUAGUGACAAGUCAAAGGAUACACAUCCAUGUUAAACUUGAAAAUGUCUCAUAACUAACAGGAGUAAACAAAAAUUGACGACAUUAUUAGAAACGUAAACCAAUAAGUUGUGAAUUCUUAAUAGAUUGCAAAAAUAAUUAGAGGAAUUUAUAAAAAGCAAUAUCCUUAGUUACACCCUAUAUUUUGAUUUUGAUUUUCCGUUACGUGGGGACCAUGUGUGGUAGAAAUAUAAGCUUCACAGCUAUGGUUGAAGGUCUUAUAGGUUCGCAACGUCCUGUGUCCAUGCUGGGCUCUACCUGUCCCUAAGCCACCAUCCUGUAUGUGUGUGCUUAGAGAGGAGAAACGUGUUCGUGUGGACUCUGGAGCUAAUGGGAGCCCUGCCAUAAAUUCCAUUGACUUUUGGGCUUGAGGCUGUGACUGCAGUGUGUAGUUGGCCUCUUAAGGGGUAUGGAAGCCUUGAAGUACCUGUGGGUUUAAGACUUGUUGAGGUCAUAAGUGUGGUGACCUUAGAGCCCUCCCUUGUGACUUCAUCUCUGAUUUUACUUGGUUUGUUUUGUUUUUUUUUGUUUUUUGUUUUUUGUUUUUUGUUUUUUUUUUUUUUUUUUGCUUGCUUUUACUUGGUUGGGUUUUGUUUGAGAUCGUCUCCCUAUUUAGCUUAGGCUGGUCUCCAACUUUCAAUCCUCCUGCCUCAUCUUCCCAAGUGUGUCCCUGGUAAGCUAGUGGUUAGGAAUUGGUAAUCUCCCAGAUUCUUCUAUCAUUGGCAUAGGAGACCACACAUGGCCUAAAAUACUAAGUGUAUCUUGUUUGUUUUGUCUUUUGGUUUAGGUUUUGGAUAUUUUGGUUGGUCAGUUGGUUGGAUGGUUGGUUGGUCGGUCAGUUGGUUGGUUGGUUGGAUGGUUGGUUGGUUGGUCGGUUGGUUGGUUGGUUAGGGCUUGUACUUGUUAUUGGUGAUGGUGUUUUAUUUAGACAUAAUCUCAGUACACCAGGUUAGUCUUGAACUUUGAAUUCUCUCCCUGCCUCCUACAUGCUGAAAUUAUAGGUAUGCACCACCAAGCCCGGCCUACAAUCCUUGCCACUGAAGCACAUAAAGACAUUGCCUAUUUCGAAAUCAUUCACUGGGUCUAUAAAAACCAGUAUCCUUACAAGAGAAAAGUGAGUUCCAAUAUACCGAAUGUUAUUUUGGAUUUUUUUCUCAAGAUGUCAUUUAUGUGACGUGACAAAUUCUUGUUUCCAUUUUUUUCUUUUUCCUUUUCUGUCAGUUUAAAACCUCUAAAGACUUACAGGAAGAAUGUAUAUUUGAGGGAGACCUCAGACAGUCAUUUCUCUUUACAAAUGAGUUUACUGUGUCUUAAGCACCUCUGUAUUUUUCUGAGCGAAGACCUAAGAACUGGAGACCCCUCUGAUGUUUCCCAGAAGAGGAACCAGAGCGUCUCAGGAGUGCGUGCUUACCCAUCCUGUGCAUGGCAGAAGUCACAGAUCUCAUUCUGUGACUAAACUCAUUUUCAUAUUUCAUGUCUGAAAUAGUCUAGCCUUUCCUCAUGUCGGCCUCACUUAAGCAAGUUAUUCCCAAGAGGAUCUCAUGUCCUGGUUUUAACCAUUUUAUGCCACCGAGGAAAACAGAAUAUCUAGAAUAAUUUUGUUGCAAGCGUGGUCCCUGCACGUACACAUAUACCUAUGUAUACUCUGGACUCACACAGAUACAUGUGUGCAUACAUGCAUAUUUACAUACACAUAUACAUAUACACACUGCAUGUAUACACAUGUGCACACAUGCACAUUCAUACACAUAAAUAUACACAUCACAUACCGCAUCCACCACGUAGUGCAUACACAUAUACAUGGGCACAUCUGCACAUACACACUCAUACAUGUGCAUUCAUACACAGAAUCACACAUGUGUGUUUGCACACACACACACGCACACAUGAACAUUCACACGUACCAAAGGACUUAUUCGCUGGCGCAUGCCUGUUCCUUUAUGUUUGAUCUCAUCCAGUGCACCCGUUUUGAGGGGCUACCCUAGCACUCCCUCAAACUUCUCGGGCACCUUCUUAAAAAGUUGAUGUGUUUCAGUUGUGUAUAAAAGAACCUGUUGUUUCAACAACAGAGAAUUACUAUUUUACCACUCAUUUUUACCAUUUAAUUUCUUUCUUUCUUUCUUUCUUUUUGUACUAAUUCCACCCUGGCUGCAGGAUCGAAGCCAUUUCUAUAUUCAGAGUCCAGAGAUGCCAGCCAUUGCUAGCACAGUAGAAUAAUGACAUCAUUCCCAGUUAUGCUCAUCAGCCUCCCACCGCCAUAACAGAAUACCUGAGAUAAUCAACCCACUUUUUUUUUAAUCUUUAUUAACUUGAGUAUUUCUUAUUUACAUUUCGAUUGUUAUUCCCCUUCCCAGUUUCCAGGCCAACAUCCCCCUAACCCCUUCCCUCCCCCUCUAUAUGGGCUUCCCCUCUCCAUCCUCCCCCCAUUACCACCCUCCCCCCAACAAUCACGUUCACUGGGCGUUCAGUCUUGGCAGGACCAAGGGCUUCCCCUUCCACUGGUGCCCUUACUAGGAUAUUCAUUGCUACCUAUGAGAUCAACCCAUUUUUUAAAGGUUUAUUCUAGCUCACGGUUUUGAUGGUUCCAGUGUUUAUCUGAUUGGCUCAUCUCCGCGGGCCUGGGAAAAGCUAACAUAUCAUAGAUUCAGUAGGUGAAGGAGCGGGUACAUCCAGCUCAUUGGCCCGGAAGCAAAAGAGAGGAAGAAGAGAGGCCCAGGAUCCCCAAAUCUCGUCAGAGUUUUGUCCCUGGUGACCAAAGAACUCCCACAAGGACCCACUCCUCAAGUUUCUGCUUCCUUCCACCCUGGAGACUGUGCCUUUAACCUGCGGGUCUUUCAGGGUCAGUCAAGUUCCAAAUGAUAGCAUCGGUCUUAAAGAGGCAGAACAACUAAGCAGACUGCACGUCCGUCUGCCACUGGGCUUCCUUAGGCAGUGCAGUGAGAAUCCUACAUGAAGAACAGAAAAAGUGUCUGCGAAAGGUGACCAUAGACUAAGCUGUGAAGGAAAAGAAGCUGUCUUGUGUCUUACGUGUUACGAAGAGACUUUUAGGAUAGAAAGUUGGAGGCAGGGAGCCAGUCUGGUGUCUUGCCUGUGAAGUGUGCACAUCAGAUGUCUGUGGUGUGUGUUAGGGCUUGAGGCAACACGUACAGUAUCGUUUCAGGUAGUGAGCACCGUAUUCAAGGAAAAGAAAGGUUGGUCUUCAUCCUGUUUAGGUCCUUGGCCAAGUGGCCAUGAGGAGUUGGUAAAGGGCUGACGGCUACUAUGAAGUGGAGCUCACAUGUGGAGAAGGGGCCUCCUAACGUGGACAAGCUGAGGAAAGGUGGACACCAAGGACCAUGACUGUCUUCUGAGGCCCUGCCCCGUCCCCUUUACUCCUCGAGUCAGCAGGAGUCGACUCAGUACAAGCUGAGCACGGCGAGCAUCUGGGGUCCCAGCAAAAGCAACUCAGAUCAACCCCAGCCAGGACCUGACCUUGGCUUGCAGUCUCUCUGACACAUUUCUAUGCAGAGCUCUCGUCUGUCCUGUCAGCUUAUCCACAGACAAAGCAGAGGGAGGGGGAGAUCCCUGGCCAGCGUGAGGUACCAGGCCUUUCUUGUGUCAGACAGUUCUCAGCACUGAUGAGCAGGGCACACCUGGUGACGUCUGACUCUCCAGUCAGCUUCAGUGUCUGCAGUGAUCAAGUCAGGCAUGUCCACGACUGGCAGCUCUUCAGAUGUUUCCUCGCCAUUUCCUAUGAGUUACAUUUUUAAUUUAUAAGUUUUCAUAAGUGACAUAGGAAGAAGAAAAGAGGUACCAGAUAGAAUUGCAUACCAGGGAAGAGGAGAACGGCUUAAGAUAACCAUCACUCUGCAGGCUGGAGUUUCUUUCCACCCUGAAACUAUGAUGUAAGUGUGACAGACAGCAUGUCACCUCUCUGUCACCUCCUUCCCAGGGGUGUGGUUCUUCCCUGGAUUUUAACACAGUAUGUUUUUAUGGCCACCUGCUGUGACCGUGAGAAGCAUAACGCUGAUAUUAGCUUCAGCAUAGUUUCCUGAAGUUUCUCUUCAGUCACGGUCAGGAAGAUCGGUCUUUAUUCCUAUGUCUUCCGAAGGACAUUUGUGACAAUUCACAGAAGAACUGUAAAAAAAUAAAGGAGCCAAGUUUUAGAGAAAGUACAUAUGUCAACAUUAAAUACAAUGUUAGAAUCCACUAUUAAAAAAAAAAAAAGAACAAUUUCUCUCUCUUCCCUAACCCCUCUCCCUCUUUAACUCUUCUAUCCUCUAUGCUUUGCCCGUCUGACUAAAUCCCUAAAAUAAAUGCUGGGAGGUUUCCCUGCUGAUUUGAGUUCCUUCAAUUACUGAAAUUGUGCUUACAUAACAAAAUGUCCUGGGACAAACCUGGGAUGUGUCGAUAAAUCGGCUUAUUAUACAACAGCUUUCUGUUAGGUGGCACGGAGUGCACCGAGGCUCUGUGGUAACUGCUCUCCGUCCUCUGUGGUGCUGGUGACCUUCUUCCGUGCCAAGCUGGGUCUGCUGAACCCUGAGCCUUUAGGCCCCGUGCAGGGAGCUGUGGGGAAGGUGCAUCCUUCUGCAGGAAAUGCCUGUUAAGGAUGCUGUUGAUAUGUGUGACAGCUCGUGAGCCUGACUUGGGUGAAUGGCAAGAGUGAGGAGCUGUGACCUGAGAGAGGAGGGCAAAAGUUUCCAUCUGAAGAGAGAUGACAAGGCCCCUAACCCCAGGGACAGGGACAGGAACCUCUGUCAGCAAAAGAAUGUUUUGUGGGAGUGAGCCUCAGGCUUGUGCUGGUCCGUUCACAUCACUCCCAUCUUGCAUGUAUUCUGAGUUCCACUUUGAGGGCUCCCACGUGCCCCCUUUUCUCCUUGCUUCCUGACCGCCCUCAGCAAAGACCCUUGAAGACCGAAACAUGAUGCUGAGUUAGACUUGACCCUGUCUGUGGGACGACAGCCAGUUUCUCUGUAGACUUCUCCCCUGACUCUCUUAGCACAUCUGCGUCCCUGCAUUUAUUUUGUAUUUGCUGUUGCAUUUGCUGUUGUAUUUGGGUUUGCAGGGCUGUCUGUUCUGUUUUCUCUGUUUUUCUGAAUUCUGUAUCUCAGUGUUUUUCUGGCCUUUCAAACCUCAGUUACUUGCCCCUUAAAAUGAGAUCAUUUUCCUAGGGAAGAAUGUUUUAGGGGACUCACUAUAUAACUCUGGCUAUCCUGAAACUUCACUGUGUAGACCAGGCUGGCCUCGAACUCACAGAAAUCCACAUGCCUCUGCCUCCAAGUGCUGGGAUUAAAGGUAUAAGCCACCAUACCCAGACGUUUAUUGGUUUUUCAUUCACCAAUAAGCAGAGGGGCAUCCCCAUGUGCCACCUACAGAUGGGCAUUUGUUCAGAGGUGACCACAUCACAAAAGUUACACGUGGACACUCUUUCCAGAUUCCUGCCUGUAAGGCCAACUUACCUUAUGUCAGCCUGUCUUAACAAACCAGCACGGGCAGGUAGACAGAACAAAGCUUUCUCUGUGAAAGCUUAGAGAUGACAUUAGAAACAAGCUUGUAGAGACCCUUCCAGUGCAGGUGGGAAGACAGAGCCGUGAUGGCAGAGCCUUCCAGAACCUUCUUUCUUCCUGACUCCAGCAAAAAACCCAAAUCUCUCUCCAGUAGGUUUUGUUUAUACCUUCCUAACUUGUUUUUAUUUGUGAUAGAGACUUGUGUUAAGGUCUCCCCACCCCCUGCCCGGUCUGGAAUGAUAAAUUCUAACUUUAGCUGUGGUCUCAGACUCAGACCUAUGCUUCCAGUUUCAACACUGACAACACUGAGCUCUGUGGAAGCCGGUGACAUUUUGUACUCACCACACACACACACACACACACACACACACACACACACACUUACUUUCUGGACUCUGCUGUGGAAGCCAAGUGUCACUGCGUGAGGCCGGAUAGGUUUAGUAAAACUUGAUGAGCGUGUUGCCUGAACAGAAGUCACACGUUGGGAACUGGGCGUGAAACUUAAAGUAUCCAGAACUGGCUUAGUCCUUAGGUAGAAACUCAGCUAAUGUUUCCAGCCAACAGUCUUACUCUUCAGCUGUGGUGGGUGGGUAAACCACUACAGACCGGUGACCGUAAUGCUGGGGUUAGUGUGCCUGACACGGAUGCGCUGACUUUCAAUCCGCCAUCUUAAUGGCGAGUUUCUGAGAAAGUUGCUUCUCCAAGUAACAUGUAAACAGCAGUCCUUGUUCAUAUCGUAAGCCUCAGCUGUCGUACAUUCUCUGUGUCUCCCCAAAGUUUACCUUUUAAUAAAGAGUCCAUCCUACGUCUCAGCCAAGGUCUCUUUGGAGUUUGAUUUCUACUGCCCCCAAACUUCCAUUUGGAAGAGAGAAGAAAUGUUCUGUCUCCCGUGACAUAGCAGCACUUUUAUCUACUCAGAGUGUCCACUGAUUGUUCCACAUCAUCAGAAUCCCUACAGUCAGGCUAUCCGUGAGUGAUGCUCUGCAGGUCUCUGUGUUGGGGAAGAGUGCGUGGGCCUGUAUGUAUACGUUUGUGUGAAAGCAUGCAUGUGUGCGUGCAUGCAUACCCAGGGAUGCAAGUUACUGUAUUUGUGCGUGCACAGGUCAGAGGUCAGCAUUGGAUGUCUUUCUCUAUUUGUUCCUGAUGGUGUUUUUUGAUACAGGGUCUCUUACUGAACCUGGAGCUCACUGAUUGGCUACACUGGCUGGCCAAUGAGCUUCAUCCACUUUUCCUUUAUGAGGGGGGCGGGGAGUCUCCCACUAGGACUGGAACUCACCAGUUCAGCUGGGCUAGCUGGUCAGUGAGUUCCAGAGAUUUGCUCCUACUGCUGCCCCAGCACUGGGAAUGCAGUCAUCUCGUGUCACCGAAGCCUGGUUUUCACAUGGGUCCUAGGGGAUAAACUCUGGGCCUUGUGAUUGGCACUUACUGACUCAACACUCUCUCCAGCUUCACAAUUGAACUCUUAAAACAUGCGUGGUGUAUGUGGUGUCUGUGUGUCUGUCUGUCUGUCUAUCUCUGCCUCUUGUCUGCCUGUCUGUCUGUGUAUAUGGGUAGAGGUUUCUGCUGACUGCUGGAAACAGAACCUCAUGUUUUGAAGUAUCACUUUCCUCUUUAGUCAGCCCUGAUUUCCCACAGGGACACUUCCUCCACUAGGAGGUUUGGGCUUUGGUGGCAGAUGCAGUCCUACAGAAGCAUUGGUUCAAAGAGUGACCAGGCCAAAUACAGAGAGACAGUAGGCCUCUGUGUCUGUAGUGUACCGAGCCUCCAACCCAUUAUGCUCUCAUGAAAGCUGUUUUAAUUGCUAAUAUGUGGCUGUUGAGAUAUGGCUGAAAACAGUUACAUUGUUAAUUUAUGAGACCAUCAGGAGCUCAGAAAGGAGUGUGUGGAAAUAAGUCACCAAGAGAGGAGAGGAGCCCCUACUGCCCCUGGGAGCAUGCAGCACACCGGGCCUCUCUGACAUAAACCACAACAAAAGACGGGGAGGCCAGAAGCAACCAUGCUGGCGAGAGUCUGAGACAUGAGUAGGUGAGACGUCCUGUUCUGAUUAGCAGAGAACUUCAAGUAGCCUUUGAAGAAGUUGGUGGCAGCCCGAGCGAGAAUCAGAUCAUCAUCUAAGUUUAGAGCUGGGCACUCUAUCCAGCCCUAACGUUUUGCACAUGAGAAUAUUGUUGGCUUAGAGGGUGUGAUGGCAUGUCCAACGUAUUCAAGAUGGGGAAGGCUUCGGAGCCAAGGGCUGGCACUCCGCUCCCCUCCUCCUCCGCCCACCUCCUCCUGGAUAGAUGCUUAAGAAAGUGUUCUAACAGUUCUUUACCUGUUAAGAUUCCUGUAAUGAAAGAGAGGACCACAUCAGUAUGCCCAAUUAAUUCUUUUAAUUAAGGCUGUGAUUCUCUGCCCCUCAUUGAGUAGGAAGAUUAACGGAAAGAUUAGCUGUACCCAGUCCCCCAGCAGCUUGGCACCUCUGCCUAGUUCCUUGGCCUAUGGGAGUUAGAUAGGCAGUUUGGGUAGCUGCUUAUGGCAGAGCCCGGGGUUUGUGUGUUUUCAACAGUAGAGGUGAGGGGAAGAGGAAAAGAGAUACGAGAACAAUAGGAACAGAGAGAAAGGAGACAUUUAUUUAACUUUAUGCACACACCGUCUAUACUUAAAUGGAAUGCUUCUGAUUCUAUACCGUUGAAGUAGAUUUACAGUAUGUCCAGCCUAAUUUUCUGCUGUAUAAUAAGCAAGUGCUUCAGUUCGCUUUCUGUUUCUGUGAUGAAACAAACAAACAAAAGCCAUGUUCAAAAGCAUCUUGGAGAGGAAAGUUUAUUUGACUUACACUAACAUGUCACAGUCCAACGCAGAGGGAAGGCAGGGCAGGAACUCGAGCAGGGCCCUGGAGGCAGGCACAGAAGAUGGAGGAGCACUGCUUACUGGCUUGCUCCCUUCAGCUUACUCAGUGUGCUUUCCUGUACACCCAGGACCACCAGACGAGGAUGGCACCACUCAGACUGGGCUGGGCCCACCCACAUCCAUCAUCAGUUAAGAAAAUGUCCCCCCAGUCUUACCUGGAGCAACCAUACAUGGGCAUUUUCUCAGUUGAUGUUCCCUCCUCUCACGUGGGUCCACCGAGUGUCAAGUUGGCAGAAAACUGGUGCCCCAGAGUUUAAAUUCUGCUUUGCUGUUGAUUAGCAGAUGGUACCCUGAGCAUGUCCUCAAAUCUGUAAGGUGGCAUUCUCGAGAAAACACCUCAUAAGGGUCCUGUGCGGUGUCAGGAUGAUGGAAACCCAUGUGCAGUCACUAACAGAUUGUAUAGGCAUGUAUGGGUGUUUUCUAUCUUAUAUUUCUGGUAUAAUAUAUCCUCCCAUGGCUGUGUUGUUAAAUGCCCGCCCCCUUUGACCUGAAAUCCUCCAUGUGAAAAUGCCCAUUUACUCUGGUGCUCACUCUGCCCUUGGAGGGGAUUGGGGAACAAGAGGUUUUGCCACACGUCUCAUCCUCACAGAUAAACAGUGUCAAUCAGAUCCCCACAGCUUCUGCAUCUAACUGUUCCUUGUUGACCCUGCCUUCCUCCUUUGAUGCCUCCUAUGAUGUUGGAAUUCAUGUCCCCAGCUAUGUCAUGGUCAUGGCUGAGACCAUCUGAAGGCUUCAGGGCUGGAUGUAGCCCAGCACUAUGGAGAAGCAGGACUGUUUCCUUUAUUUCAAGCCGUCUCUAAACUCUCGUCGCCUUUCCUAACGCGAGCACAUUGUGCCGAUGGCUUCUGAGGGCAGCACAUUACAACCAGCCUCUUGGUGGACAUAGCAUCCUCCCCUUGGGUUGCACUGAUUCAUCUUGCAUUUAGUCUUUCAAUGUUUAUCUUUUUACGUUCUCUGAAGACUUGGUAUGAUACUUGUUUAGUCUUUAUAAAAGGAAAACACCAAAUCUUAAAAGAACACCUAGCAGCUCUUGUACUGUCUCACUGGGGAUUUUGGUAACAUUUCCAUUUGCCAUUUUCCCAGCCUCUGAGCUUCAUUCAUUAUCCAAAUAAUUACUGGAAUCUUCUGGUUUCAAAUGCUAUAUUAAAUGCUUAGGUACAAAAGGGACAAGGGCCAGGGGCAAACGUGCUCUAACACUACAUCCUGUAGAAGGUGAAGCAAGAACUAACAGAGACAUACAUAGGACAUAAGAUAUGACCAGUGCGAGGUCACAAGGAGGGAAGUAGGGCUACCUCAGAUGGCGCCAGGAAGGAAGACCUCUCUGAGACAGUGCCUUCUGCUCUCUGGUUGAAGGAAACAGAGCAUAAGGUUCUAGGUGGCCCCAGGGUGUACAGGUCCUGAUGCAGAACCAAAGGGCAUGUCCCAGGAAAAGCUGAGAAGCCUGCAGUGAAAGGAGCGUCCUAGGGGAAGCCUCGGAGUGAGGUAGAGCUGUGUCCUCUGGGCAUGGUGCCCUGGGGAAGGAAUGUGGGUCUUACAGUAGCUUCAUAAGAAGCCACCUGGCGCUCCUACAGUGUCAUCGAGGUUGAGUUGUAGAAACCGUGGCAAACUAGAAUUCAAGGAAAACAGACCGUGUCAUAUCCGGGCUAAGGAAAUAACCCAGAUCUAUGUACCUGAGAGGGAACCGUCGAUGGCUGACUAAGACUUCCCAGCAGAGGAAGUGGUGUUUGACUGUUCUAGUUAGGUGCCAUCUAUUUGUUUUGGGCUUUUGUUUUGUUUUGUUUUGUUUUGUUUGUUCGGUUUGUUGUUUUUUUUUUUUCCUGUGUAGCCUUGGCUAUUCUGGAAUUAGCUCUGUAGACUAGGCUGGCCUCAGACCCAGAGACCCGAUCUGCCUACCUCUGCCCUCAGGGCACUGUGAUUAAAGAUGUGUGCCAACUGGCCCCGCUACAUAGAUGAAACAGUGCUUUUUUUCUAAUAAAGGGAGAAAAUUCAGGGUCUCAAGAAUGGGGGCCAAAUGCCGUUAUGAGGUUGAGUAGAAUGACGGACGAGAGAGCGGUUGAUUCUGUAAUGGGUGUACUGCGGACAACUCUGACCAGAAUGUAAGACUGGAGGACAGUUGCUAGCCGUGGAGUAGAACUGGCACAGGAAGCAGUAGGAGUGGGAACAGGAGGAAGAGGGCCCGCUCUGCUCCACUGGCUCAGUGGUGUGUGUGAGGCUGAGAGAGUUGGUUUUGCUUUAUUUUGUCAAACUCCCGUGGUACCAGAGCACACUUCGGAGUUUCAUAGAAGAUCUUUACGGAGGGGAAUUAGCAGAGCAAGCAAGGCCGAGGGCUGUUGCAGGAGCCACUCAGUAGGAAGGCAAGAAGAUGAGGUGAGACCCAGAGCACAGUAGGAACCUGGUGUGGGUCCUUCUGUGGUAAAGCUCCUGUCCCUGUGAGUACCUUUAAAGUGCUGCUGGUGGGCUCAACGGACUUCAAGAUUUUCUUUUUACGAUGUGUAAUCAGCAUACCCUUAAAAGACACAGGGAAACAAGACCUGAAAGUAAUCUACUGCACACACACACACAUGGGCCAGCAACAUGACUUCUGCACAGCUCCACAAGUCGGCCAGGAUCUCCUCUGAGUCUAGAAAAGCUGGCGUGUGUCAUGACAUCUAAAUGUCCACGUAGCAUGUCCUUGCUGGAGGAGCUCACAGGCGGUAUUCUUUCUAUGUGUCCUGCCUACAGGGCAGUUACUCUCCUGCCCCAACGCCCAUAUGCCUGUGUAAUGCAUAGGAAGUCGGGGAAAGCUUGGGCCGUACAGGCAGAAAGCUAUGCAGUCAGGAUUCCAAGCACACCAUUUAGUGUAGCCUUGGUGCUUAAGCUUUUCAACAAUAUGAAGUACAUCCCAGCUUAUCUUUCCAGUGUAAAGGAACCAUGGCAAGAAGGCAGAACACAGCGCCACAGACAGCUCACUUGAAAAUACGCACAUCAAAUCCCGUUUGUGAAUAUAGCCCUGCACUGAAGGCUUAGCAGUGAGGAUUAUUCCAGAAGUGCAGAGCUCAGACCUAGACAAUCAAUGGAUGGGUGGGAGAGCACCCUCAUAGGAGCAGGGGGAGGGGAUGGGAUAGGGGGUUUCUGGAGGGGAAACCAGGAAAGGGGAUAACAUUCGAAGUGUACAUUUAAAAAUUCCAAUAAAAGAAAAGAAAAAAAGGAAAGUCAAUGGAUAUGAUUGAUCAUAUUAACAAACUAAAGGAAAAAGAUUUUUCCCUGAUUGUUGAUAAAAUUCAGUGAAAGUUAAUUGCUAGUAAAAUUUAAGAGUAUUUCCUUAGUAUUAAACAUCUGUGGCUAAUACACACACACACACACACACACACACACACACACACACACACAUAUUUUGGUGGUAGUGAGUUUUUGUUUUUUGUUUUUUGCUUUUUGGUCUGAGACAGUAUUUCUCUGUAUAGCCCUGGCUAUCCUAGAACUCCUUCUGCAGACCAGGCUGGACUUACCUCACAGAGCUGCCUACCUUUGCCUCCGGAACACAGAAUAUUCUGACCAAGUAUCAAGCUUAUAUUCCCACCAGCAGUGUGUAAGAGUUCUCCUCUGGGGGUUGGAGAUUUAGCUCAGUGGUAGAGCGCUCAAGGCCCUGGGUUCGGUCCCCAGCUCCGAAAAAAAGAAAAAAGAAAGAAAAAAAAAAAACAAAAGAGUUCUCCUCUGGCCACCUCAUCUGCAUUUCUAGUAUUUGCUUACUUGAUGAUUACAGUUAUUAUUCUUAAUGUGCUUUAAUUUGCAUUUCUCUAGUGGCUGUUGAAGUCGAACACUUUUUCAUGCGUUUAUUGUCCAUUUAUACUUAUUUCUGAGAACUAGCUGUGUGUUUCACUGGCCCACUAACUGGUUGGGUUGCUCAUUCAGUGCUACAGAACAUUCUCUGCACACUGAAGAGAAAAGUAACACAUCCAAGAGGUUAGAGGGAAGGGCAGACCAUGCUAGAAUAGUUGCUAAGCAAAUGAGGACCCAUCAGAUGGUAGGAGUUUCACAGAUUACUGAGCGUUAAUGGUUUCGGCUCUCUAGUCAGAAUAUAGACCAGCAAAUGACUAAGAACAGGGUCCUCACCUUCACAGACGAGCAGCCUUAGGUGAGGGACUGCUAAAGGACAUGUAACUAGAGAGCCUGUGAGUGUCACUGUCCAAUACCUCACAAAAUAAACUUCAAACAAAAAUUAGCCAGAUAUCAAAAAAAAAAAUCACUUACUAUUAAGGAAACUACGUAGAAAAACUGAUUUACGCAUGCGCACCAAACACAGUGGAUAAAACAAACUGCAGAUAUGAACACAUAAAUUAACACCAACACCGUAACAGAGGUGUGGGGGGGUGGGGCAGGAGCUAGGGAUUCAGCCCACGGCCUUCUGGGUAAUCAGCAGAGACUGUACUGCCAAGCUACACCCCUGCCCCAGGGGAUUUACUUUUGAUUUCAAAACUUGCUACAGAGACACAGUAAUCAAGAUAAUGUAUGUUACUGGCAUAAGGCUAGAUAUGUAGGUAGAGUAGUCUUGGAAAUCAAGAAGAAAAGGGGUUAAGUAAAUAUAAGGUAAUUAUAAGCUAAUUAAUUUUUCCAUGAGAGAACCUGGAUAAAUGUUGAUUAGUUUCACAAAAUCAGAUGGGAGGGAACCAGAGACGUGGCUCAGUAGUUAAGAGUAUUUGAUGUUUGCAAAGGACCUGGGUUUGACUCUUCUCACCCAUGUGGUGACUCGCAGCUGCCAACUUCUAGGCGGAUCCAGUGUCCUCUUCUGGCCUACUUGGAGAGAUGGACAUUCAAGCAAAACAUGUAUACCCACCCCCUCCAAAUAAAUAGGUCAAUUUUUAAAUUUAUGAAUGAUUCUGGGAUGACAGUAUCCAAAUUCAGAACAAUGAAAUGUUUAAACUCACCCUAUCCACAAGAGUCAACUCAAAAAUUGAUCAUAAACCUGAAUGUAAAAACUAAAAUCAUGAAGCCUUUGGAAGAAAGCAUUGGGUACUGGUGUUCCUAACCUUGUGGGCAGGGUGGGUGUGUCUGACCUUGGGUUGGGCAGUGUAGGUGUGUCUGACCUUGUGUUGGGCAGUGUGGGUGUGUCUGACCUUGUGUUGGGCAGUGUGGCUGUGUCUGACCUUGUGCUGGGCAGUGUGGCUGUGUCUGACCUUGUAUUGGUCGGUGUGGGUGUGUCUGACCUUGUGUUGGGCAGUAUGGGUGUGUCUGACCUUGGGUUGGGCAUUGUGGGUGUGUCUGACCUUGUGUUGGGCAGUGUGGGUGUGUCUGACCUUGUAUUGGUCGGUGUGGGUGUGUCUGACCUUGUGUUGGGCAGUGUGGGUGUGUCUGACCUUGUAUUGGGCGUUGUGGGUGUGUCUGACCUUGGGUUGGGCAUUGUGGGUGUGUCUGACCUUGUGCUGGGCGUUGUGGGUGUGUCUGACCUUGUGUUGGGUGGUGUGGGUGUGUCUGACCUUGUGUUGGGUGGUGUGGGUGUGUCUGACCUUGUGUUGGGUGGUGUGGGUGUGUCUGACCUUGUGCUGGGCAGUGUGGGUGUGUCUGACCUUGUGCUGGGCAGUGUGGGUGUGUCUGACCUUGGGUUGGGCAGUGUGGGUGUGAACCUUCGCCCACCUUGGGGCAGGCUGUUCUUUCUUUACCAUGGCAACAAAAGCACAAGCGAUGAAGGGUUAAAUUGGCUUAGUUCAAAACUGAAAGCAUGCACUUGAGGUGAUACUGUCUGGGAGAAUCCACACAAGGCAGGAAGCGUUUGCAAACCUCAUGUCCGAUAAAGGAGCCCUGUCUGGAACUUAGGAUUCCCACCACUCAACCAAAGCGUACCUCAGUGUAAGCACAGGCAAAGAACUUGCAAAGAAGCCUCCAAAGACAGUCUACGGUGGCCCAGAGGUGCUUUAGGAAGGUGUUCAGCGCCAUUAGUAAUUAGUGAAAUCCACCUGAGGCACCAACCACACCCACUAGGACAUCGAGGAUCCAAGCAGACAGCAGUCAGUGUGGAGUGGAAUUUUUCGUACAGAGCUGGUGGGAAAAUAAGAUGGUGUGCUUGCCUUGGAAAACAGAUGGGCAAGUCUUCAGGAUGUUUACCACAGACACACCAUGUGACUCACCAGAAACUCCUCCUCACAGCCAAUGAGAACAUACGCCUCGCAAGAACCUACAAAUGUUCUCAGCAGCUUUGCCCGACAGUCCCCAAAUGGCCCAGAUGCCCGGCUGGUGAUGGAGCGAUAGAUGUGAUAGGAGUUAUAUAGUGGAAUACCGUCCACAGAAAGGGUUGGAGGUCUGAUGCACCUUAAAAGGUUUCUCCGAGGAAAAGAGCCAAGCUCAAGGGUCACAAAGUGAGAUUCCCCUUAAGUGAGAUCUGGGGAAAGGCAGAACGUGGAAGUUAGAGUAACAGUUGCCAGUGAGCAGGGGAGGGGAACAGAGAGAGUGGUGCCAGUGGCUGUGAGGUCUGCAUGUGGUGUUAAAAAUCUGGAAUUAGAGACCUGGUAUUGGAUUGACAGUCCUGUGAAUGUGAAUACAUUGACCCACUGGCCAAAUCGCACAUUUGAAAGGUUGAGUGUAUGGGUUAUAUUGAAUGUUUUUAAAGGCUAUUUCCUGUAUGCCUUUUCAAUUCAAAACUACAAUGGAAGGAAUAAAUGGAGAUUACUUUUUUAAUUUUCAAAAGGAGGGAAGCACUGUUCGUUUUGCUUGUUCUAUGGGGGUUUGUUUUGUUUUGUGGUUUUUGAGACAGGGUUUCUCUGUGUAGCCCUGGCUGUCCUAGAACUUGUUCUGUAGUCCAGGCUGGUCUUGAACUCAGAGAUCCACCUGCCUCUGCCUCCCAAGAUUAAGGUGCUGGGAUUAAGGACGAGGACCACCACCACCCAGUGAGAGAAGAGAAGUUGUAAAACACAGGCUCUGUUAAUACAGAGCAUAGAGUUUACAUAACAAAGAAGAUAAGACUAUCGUGAGGACACGUCUAAGCCACACAAUUCAUAGUCUACAAUUACACCUUUAAAAAUAUGAGUGAGGCUGAAUAUAAAUAUGCAAAAAUUAUGCUAAAAACAUUGACUCUUAUUUUUAACUUUUACCACAAAAUAUUUUAAUAUUAAUAGCAAUAAGACUUUCCAGUUGUAUGCCCAGAUGGCUUGUAUGUUACAUGUUGUGACAAAGAAAAAUGACUUCCCUAGAUAAAAAAAAAAAAAAAAAAAAAAAAAAAAGAGCCCCCAGCACUUGCAUUAGGAGAGUAACCAUAGUAACGACGAGUUCUUUAUCCACCGGAAUCCAGUGUAGACUGACCCAUCACAGGUGGUGUCAGGACCUGGCUGGUAUCAGUUGGCAGCUUGGAAUGAGCUCUACGGAAAGUGAUCUUUGCAAGCUUAUGGAGAAAAGAAUGUCUAGGGAAGAUGUUGGGUAGGUUGGGAUCCUUGGAAAGCCAAGGUCAGUGCUGAAGGAACAUCCUUGUGCCUGGGGAAGAGGAUGGUAGACUAAGAUACUACAUUCUGCUCUAGACAUCCUGCUGCCACAGUGCUAAACCCCUAUCUCUGCAUUUCUCUCACUCCCUCCAUUGGAUGGGGAUAGAAACGUGCCCAGCAGAGCGUGGGACGCGGGCUCUCAGUGUUAGUGCGAAGGCAGGAAAAGGAGACUCACCUACAUUCUCCUUCUGGGGUAUGAGGCGGGGCCCUGUAGCAUCUCCCCAGGAAGAAUGCACCCAAAUGCAGAGGAGUCAAAAAAAAAAAAUGACAGAUUCCCACUAACAUUUGGAAUGACUAAAAUUAGAACCAUACUUUCUAUCACAAACCAAAAUAAAUUCCACAUGGAUCCAGAAUCCGAAUGUAAAACUGGAGAUCAUAAAAGCACUUACAGAAUCUAUGCAUGAAUAUUUAUGGGAUGUUGGUUGGGGGAAGUUGCUAAGCAUGAUGUAAAUACCAGAAUGCCGUUAAAACGUUGGAGAGAGAAUAUCGAGUGACCCAGAAAAUGCCCCUGGGUGUGGUAGAGUGCUUGCAUAGCUCGAACAGGCCCUGGGUGUGAUUCCCAGCA